GUUGCCUCACAAUCCAUUUCAAGUCCCCAGCUCCAUAGACACACACCGCCCGUCUGUGCAUCCCAGUGCAUGGUGGAUAGGGAGCCCCUCUCUUUAAAUCCCCUUCAUGGUAGCUCCAUUUCACUAGACGAGCAAUUGCGUUCAUGUCCGAUUGCUCAUACUUUCUGUUUGGAGGGUUGGAUCCUGGCACUGAAGGCAUCCGCUGUAACGUAGCCCACAUGUGCUCAUCUGGACUGUAUGUGUCUUUCUCCCAUUCCAUGAAUUCUUGAACCUCUUUGCUUUUGAAGAUGUGAUCCACAAACUCUCUUGAAAACACAAAUCUGGUCAGCACUACAGAGCACUGAACACCGAAACAGCCAGUUUCUUCCAUCAGAACACCAGACUAAGGACUAUGAGCUGGGAAUUCGCUGGACAGAUCACGGCGGUGGCGCAAUCCAGCCGCGAUCUGUUUACCUUCACUGAGAGAUUCUGUUGUCUUGUCCACACCAGCCACUUGGAUGACGAGACUAUUAAGGCUCUGUACUGGACCGGGGCGAACUUCGUAGAUCCCAGAGAACUUCCUGAUCUUGUCGGAUUGGACUUAAGAGAGAGAGUCUACCGAUGUCUGGAAAGUUUCAUUCCCCCGUAUGUAUCACAGCCAGCCCCAGAAUCUCACCCUAAGAUGGCCACCGGUCCACAAUCCCAUCCUGUCAUGGCCGCUUUCCCAGUAUCACAUCCUAAGAUGGCCGCUGGUCCAGAAUUCCAACCUAAGAUGGCCGCCAGUCAGAACUCCCAUCCUAAGUGUCUCGUCCCAUCAUGGCUGCCAUUCCAGAGUCUUGUUCCGUCAUGGCUGCCAUUCCAGAGUCUCGUCCCGUCAUGGCCACCAUUCCAGAGUCUCGUCCCGUCAAAUUAAUACAUUUGUUAAAAAUACUGUUAAAAUGAUGUACUGUGUUUUUAUUAAGUCUGGGAAUUGUAAUAACUUUUUAAUAAGAGAAAAAAAAUAUGAAUAUGUAAUAUUGUGCAAACAUUUCUGAAAAAUGCUCCUCUCUAGAUUUCUUCUUUUUUUUUUUUUUUUUUUUUUUACUAACUAUCGAGUUUGCACUAUGCAUUCUGAAGCACCGUGUCUUCUUCUAUUGGAUUCGGGGAGGGCUGCAUUACAGUAUUACGGUUUGACCAGCCCCACUGGUCAAACCGCGUUAUUGCAGGCCCUUCAAAUAGAUCAUAUGAGAUCAAAAGACUAUUCAACAACAAAAAUAUUUGUCGACAAUUUUUUAUUGUCGACGUUGUCGAUAAUGUUGACUAAUCAUUUCAGCCCUAUUACGUUUUCAUACACACAAAAUACAUAUACAUAUAUCUUUGACAUAAAAGAUUUGUAAAUAUUUUGUUGUAUUUUUACAUUUUAGUGCUAUAAAUACAUCAAUAUUAUACAUUUCAGCACCUUUCUAAACAUACAAAAAUGUACAAUUUGUGUCUUUGAAAGUUACGUAAUAAUACCUACGUAUUAACAACGAGACCAGGCUGGAUUGUCAAUGUGAUUGUAAAACAUUAAAAUUUUGCACUACCAAGUGAUAAAGGAUGAGAUCAAAGGUAACCAGAUAUUCUGAAGAAUGUUGAAAACACGUUGCUGUUAGGCCCCAUUUACACUGCAUGGUUCAAGUGACCCAAUUCCGAUUUUUUUCUCCCAUGUGGCACAGAUCAGAUAUGAGCUACGACCGUGUAAGCAGGAAAAAAGCGCAUGGAUUCAGAUUUUCACAGAUCGGUUUCAGGCCUCAUUCAUAUGUGGAAAUAAAUCAGAUAUGAAUCGGAUACGUGCGUUUGCGCCUGCAGUGUAAGCGGACAGAUCAGAUAUUCCCCUGUAAAUGUGACUCCUGCAUCAUUGAAAAGUGAGGUUUUUUAACAUUUCACGGUACAGACAUACCUAUAACAAACGGAACAUCUCUAGUUGACUGGCAGAGUAUUCAUUUCAUUUGUUUGUGUUAAAUAAAAGGCGAUCUGACGUUGAAAUGUGUGGCUCUUGAAAUCACACUGAGUGUUCGUUGCCACUGUUGUCAGUGACGACGGCUCGUGCACAGACGCGCACUUCAGUCCCGUUGUGGAGACUCUACCCAUUCAUUCCAUUGAAACCACAAAAUAAAAAGCACACAAGCUUGUACCUGCCCUUGAUAUACAAUCACUGAUGAAUGCAUAUUCACUUACUAUGAGAAGCCUUAUACUAAACCACGCCUCUACUUUGAUCAUAGUCACUUACUGGAAAACUCACCUGUAAAAACUAGAUCAGCCUCAUCUGCAUCUGCAAUUACAGCCUCUUCAGUUCAGGAAGUCAACAUUACUGUAGACUUUUGCCAGUUGAUGGAUUUUUCUUAUCCAGAAAAAUGAGGCGAGCUGACUGACAAGACGACGGUGAAAGAUUUGGUUUCUAAGCGAAAUGUAAAAGGGCCUAUUUGGCAAUAUUUUGGAUUUAAACCCAGUGCUAAUAGGGAACCUGGAAAAAAUUAAUGAGGUAAUCUGUAAACUUUGCCUGAUGAAGGUGGCAGCAUCCGGAGUAACACCUCUAAUUUACACACACACCUUUUUUUUUAUUUUUUUUAUUUUUAUUAUGCAAACAGACAAUUACAAUAUUUACAGAAGAGAAAUUAAAUGCAAAAUACAAAUACAAAGACCAACAAAACAUACAUAACAGCCAGUAUGAUUUGGGUGUGUGUGUGUGUGUGUGUAUAAGUGUAACUGGGUGUGGGAGUGGAAAUAUAUGAAUAAAGGAGCAUGUAGGAAAGUACAACAGACAUAACCAGAGUCAAGAAAAAAAUAUAUCAAAGAGGAAAAAAAUAAGUAAAUAAAAAAAAAAUUAAUGACAAUAAUAAUGAUGAAGAUAAUAAUAGUAUCACACGCAAACAAUGAGGAAGGUGACAAUAGCAACAGUAAUAACAGUAUUAAUAAUAAUAAUAAUAAUAACAACAAUAAUAAUAAUAAUGAUAAAUCCAAUUAAUAAGAAAUGACAAAUAGUAAUAAUAGUAUUAGCAGUAGUAGUAAUGAUAAAACAUAUUAACAAAUAUACUCAUUUCAUCCGGAAUGAGGGGGAGGUUAAAGGAUCAGGAAGAGGAAAAAUAAAGAUAAAGUGAUAGUAAUAGCAAUAAUAAUAAUAUUAAUAAUGGUAAUAUUGAUACAGCCAUUAAUAGUAAUGAUAAUAGUAGUAGUUGUAAUGGCAGUGAUAAUAAUAAUAAUAAUAACAAUAGUAUUAAUAAUGGUAAAAUUGAUACAGCUAUUAAUAAUAAGAUAUUAUAAAGCUGCCUCUAUUCCCCUCAUGGCCAUGGCAUAAGAUAGACCCCCGUCAGCGUCAUGUUGCAACGGGCUAUCAAGGUGUGGCGCUGCGGGGCCGAGGGUCCCAAAAUCCAUCCCCAUCCCCAGCCGUCCCACACAUGCCACGCUUACCCUGUCUGUGUUUUUUUUUUUUUUUUUUUUUUUUUUUUUUUUUUUUAUAAAUAUGGCUGCUUUCAUUGUUAUACUCAUGAUAUGUUUAUGUCAACUAGUGUAUAAUGCAUUAAAAAAGCAUGGCGUGUAGCAUGGAACCAGCCCAGUGCAAAGCCCAGGCCGCUACGCCCACGCCACACUUACCCUAUGUGUGUGCUUUUUUUUUUUUUUUUUUUUUUGCUUUAAACUUGUUUUAUGCUCCAAAUGAAUGUGUGUGUGCACCUCAUCUAAUAUGUGAAGCAUUAAAACAGCGAGAAAAAUGCUGAGCCAGCCAGAGACAAGAAAUCCCAGGUGAAAGUACAAGCUGGAGGGUGAAAGCCCAAGGCCCCGGCCCCACAUCACACCCACCCACAACUAAUCAAAACUGCACAUGGCAGGGACUAGUAUGCCACAGCCAACCAGGGUCUAGAAGUAGCAAAAAAAAAAAAAAAGAGAGAGAGAGAGAGAGAUUUAAAUAUAAUCUUAUAAGUAUUUUAUUUAUAUUUGAUAUUAGUCAGUGUUGCUACCUCUUCCUGAUCUCUACCUCUACCUUCCUGUACCAUUGAGGAUGGCUUCAGACAAAGAAGCCCUGGUGCCUUUGAGGCUUGUAGAAGACCACAACUGAAAGAGCUUACAGUUGCCGAUGGAUAUAAGUGUAUGCUUUAACCAAAUGCCACGCCUGUCGUGGAGACUGACGAAGCACAAACUCGCUAAGGCAUAGACGCUACAAGACCCCUGAAGUUGUCCAGUGGCACCUACAGUCUAGCAGCAGAUCCUUCAAGUCCUGUAGGUUGCGAGGUGGAGCAACUGUGGAUCGGAAUUGUUGGUCCAGCACAUCCCACAGAUGCUCAGUUGGAUUGAGAUGUGGUGAAAUUGGAGGCCAGGGCAACACCUUGAACUCUUCAUCAUGUUCCUCAAACCAUUCCUGAACAAUGUGUGCAAUGUAGCAGGGUGCAUUAUAUCCUGCUGAAAGAGACCAAUUCCACCAGAGAACACCAUUGUCAUGAAGGAGUUUACCUGGUCUGCAACAAUGCUUAGUAGGUUGGCCAGAUGUUAGUAAAUGGCCAGAGCCAAAGAUUCCCAGCAGAAUAUUGCUUAGAGCUUCACAGUCCCUCCACCUGCAGUCAUCUUCCCAUAGUGAAUCCUGCUACAUCCUUGCAGCUCUCAUUCCUAGCAGACUCAUUCCUCCUAAAACCAUCAUUACAUUCUUCUGUGACUUGCGCCACAAUAAACCAUCUGUCCGUUUGGACCAGAUGGGAUAGCCUUCGUUGCCCUCACGCAUUGAUGAGCUUUUGCCACACAACACCCCCGUUUGUGGUUCAUCAGGCCACUGUUUGUAGGCUCUUACCACAAAAGUUUAAGGGGCAAUCAGUUUAAACAAACUCUGGAACUCAUACUAGUUGCUAACCUAUUUAAUUACCAGUGGAUGGAUGAAAUUUUGUUGUGUGUGUGUAAGAUGA